AACCAUAGAAACCUGCGGAGUACCUGCGGAAGGAUCAUUACCGAGUGCGGGUCCCCUCGCGGGGCCCAACCUCCCACCCGUGUCUACCGUCACCUGUUGCUUCGGCGGGCCCGCCUUCGUGCCGCCGGGGGGCCCUCUGCGCCCCCGGGCCCGCGCCCGCCGAAGACUCUAGGAGCACUGAAUGAAGGAUGCCGUCUGAGUCAAACGACACAAUCGUUAAAACUUUCAACAACGGAUCUC
rnacentral:misc_RNA from 1 species